rnacentral:rRNA from 1 species
UGGGGAAUAUUGGACAAUGGGCGAAAGCCUGAUCCAGCCAUGCCGCGUGUGUGAAGAAGGUCUUCGGAUUGUAAAGCACUUUAAGUUGGGAGGAAGGGCAGUUACCUAAUACGUGAUUGUUUUGACGUUACCGACAGAAUAAGCACCGGCUAACUCUGUGCCAGCAGCCGCGGUAAUACAGAGGGUGCAAGCGUUAAUCGGAAUUACUGGGCGUAAAGCGCGCGUAGGUGGUUUGUUAAGUUGGAUGUGAAAGCCCCGGGCUCAACCUGGGAACUGCAUCCAAAACUGGCAAGCUAGAGUAUGGUAGAGGGUGGUGGAAUUUCCUGUGUAGCGGUGAAAUGCGUAGAUAUAGGAAGGAACACCAGUGGCGAAGGCGACCACCUGGACUGAUACUGACACUGAGGUGCGAAAGCGUGGGGAGCAAACAGGAUUAGAUACCCCAGUAGUCCCUGAGCGGGCUGGCAAGGCGCAU